UAAUAGGUGUACUACAAGGCUCAGAGUCAGUGCAGAGGAAGAAAUGAGGAGCUCUUGGAAGUGGUGGGCAGAGGGCAAGUGUUUGGAAUGUUCUUUAAGAAUAGGUACACUUGAACUGACUCUUAAAAGAUGGGCAGGUGUUUGACAAGGCAAUGUGAACACCACAGAUAGAGGGGAGUGAAGCCACCUGGAAACCUUCCUCUCUGCACUGCAAACAGUUUGGGAUGGUUGGUGCAUGGCACGUGACUGUGCACAUUGUGUCCAUGUUGUGUGCACUGAUGAUUUAGAAAUGACAGAGGGGCAAGUGGUGAAGCUGGAGAGUUGCAGAAGCACACAGAGGAAGACUGCCUUACAUGGUUCUUCAAGUGUAUAAAAGAAAGCACUGGAGUUCUGGAGAGGUGAGGCAGAAUACGAAGGUAAACAGGAAUCAUUAUUCCUUUUCUCAGAGAGUUUUAACGUGAGCUCUCCUCGGGCCUGGGAGAAAUUCUGAGAAUGACCCCUGAGAAUGAGCUCAGUGGUGAGAAGUCCAAGGACAGGAUGAGGUCGACAUUGCAAGUGUUUUUGGAAUAAGAAUCAACACACUUAAAGACUGGGAUUUGGAAGUGAGAAGGAGUACAUGGAAGUGAUUCAGGAAGACAAGGAAAUGAGACACAAGUGGCAACAUUUGUCAAAGUUCUAUGCAUUUGUUCCUUUGGAUUCAAGUGAAACAUCUGGAGUCAAUUCUUAACCCAAUGUUGGUUUGUUCUCACCAACCUCUUUGCCCUGCUAUUGGAAAAUAUAUUACAUUUCUGUAUGUUAUAUGCCCACAAAUACAAUUAAAUGUAUACUGCUUUAUGAUUUUUAAACAAGAUAAGAAAGGAUAAGAAAUAGGCAAUUAUACUCCUUUAUAAUUGCAUAAUUACCUUUAUCAGUGUUCUUUGUUUUGUGUGUGUGUGUAUUCAAAUUACUGUCUUGGGUCACUUGCUUUCAGCCUGAAGAACUAACUUUAGUAUGUCUUGUAAGGUAGGUCUACUGGCAGCAGACUCUUUCAGAUUUUGUUUUCCAAAUGUCUUUUUAUUUCAUCUUCACUUUUAAAUGAUAAUUUUGCUGGAUAUAUGAUUCUUGAUUAAGAGCUUUUAAAAUUUGAGGGCUGAGAAUAGGUUAUCCUAUUGCCUUCAGCCCUCUAUUGUUUCUGAUGAUAAGUCAACUGUUAAUCUUAUAGGAGUUUUCUUAAGCAAGAUGUCAUUUUCCUCUUGCUGCCUUCAAGAUUUUCUUUGGCAUUUUUACUAUGUGUCUAUUCAUGGGUCUUUUUGAGUUUAUCCUACUUGCAGUUUGUUGAACCUCCUGGAUAUGUAGAUUUAAAUUUUUUAGGAAAUGGGAAUUUUUUAGCCACUAAUUUUUCAAAUAUUUUUCUGCUCCUUUCCUUCUCUGUUCUUCUGGUGCUGCCUUUACAUGUCUGUUGGUAUACAUUAGUGUCCCACAUUUCUCUGAGACUUUGCUCAUUUUUUCUUCAUUCUUUUUUCACUCUGUUCUUGGAUUGCAUAAUUUCUAUUGAUCUAUUCUUAAGUACUUUUACUUUCUGCCCGUUUAAGUGUAUUAUUGAUUCCAUCUAGUGAAUUUUUAAAUUUCAGUUAUUGCUCCUUUCAGUUCCAAAAUUUCCAUUUGGUUAUUUUUAAUAAUUUCUGUCUCUUUAUUAAUGUUCUCUAUGUGAUGUGACACUGUCAUCAUGCUUUACUUCUAAAAUCAUGGUUUUCUUUGUUUCUUUGAACAUAUUUAUAAUGGCUUCUUUUCUCACAUCUGGUCUCUCCUGCAGGUGGCUUUAUUGCCUGCUAUUCUUCUGGUAUCUAGGCCAUAAUUUCCUGCUUAUUUUGCAUGUCUCAUAUUUU